rnacentral:rRNA from 1 species
UACGAAGGGGGCUAGCGUUGCUCGGAUUUACUGGGCGUAAAGGGCGCGUAGGCGGCCUGAUAAGUCGGGGGUGAAAGCCUGUGGCUCAACCACAGAAUUGCCUUCGAUACUGUUAGGCUUGAGACCGGAAGAGGUAAGUGGAACUGCGAGUGUAGAGGUGAAAUUCGUAGAUAUUCGCAAGAACACCAGUGGCGAAGGCGGCUUACUGGUCCGGUUCUGACGCUGAGGCGCGAAAGCGUGGGGAGCAAACAGG